ACAACCCCUAUGUUCAGUUGGAUUUUUCUGAACAGACUGCCCUGGUAACAGGGAGGAAGGAGGGGAUGAUGUCAGGUCAGUAUUGCCCUUACGCCUUGGGCUACAAACACGCUACAAUGGCCGGUACAAAGGGUCGCUAAGUCGCGAGACGGAGCCAAUCCCAUCAAAACCGGUCUCAGUUCGGAUAGCAGGCUGAAACUCGCCUGCUUGAAGCUGGAAUCGCUAGUAAUGGUAGGUCAGCUAUACUACCGUGAAUACGUUCCCGGGUCUUGUACACACCGCCCGUCAAGCCAUGAAAGUUGGGGGCACCCAAAGUCCGUUUAUACGGCCUAAGGUGAAUUCAAUGAUUGGGGUUAAGUCGUAACAAGGUAUCCGUACCGGAAGGUGCGGAUGGAUUACCUCCUUU
rnacentral:rRNA from 1 species